rnacentral:rRNA from 1 species
GACGAACGCUGGCGGCGUGCUUAACACAUGCAAGUCGAACGGAAAGGCCCUGCUUGCAGGGUACUCGAGUGGCGAACGGGUGAGUAACACGUGGGUGAUCUGCCCUGCACUUCGGGAUAAGCCUGGGAAACUGGGUCUAAUACCGGAUAGGAGCCAUUUUUGUGUGGUGGGUGGGAAAGUUUUUUCGGUGUAGGAUGAGCUCGCGGCCUAUCAGCUUGUUGGUGGGGUAAUGGCCUACCAAGGCGGCGACGGGUAGCCGGCCUGAGAGGGUGGACGGCCACAUUGGGACUGAGAUACGGCCCAGACUCCUACGGGAGGCAGCAGUGGGGAAUAUUGCACAAUGGGCGCAAGCCUGAUGCAGCGACGCCGCGUGGGGGAUGACGGCCUUCGGGUUGUAAACUCCUUUCGCUAGGGACGAAGCUUUUUGUGACGGUACCUAGAUAAGAAGCACCGGCUAACUACGUG